rnacentral:rRNA from 1 species
CGAACGAGAAAGUGAUCUUCGGAUCGCGAGUAAAGUGGCGAACGGGUGAGUAGCGCGUGGGUAAUCUGCCCUUGAGUCCGGAAUAACAUUCCUAACGGGAUGCUAAUACCGAAUAAUACCAUUGUGUUGCAUAGCGCGAUGGUCAAAGAUGGCCUCUACUUGUAAGCUAUCGCUUAAGGAUGAGCCCGCGUUUCAUUAGCUUGUUGGUGAGGUAAAAGCUCACCAAGGCAGCGAUGAAUAGCCGGCCUGAGAGGGUGUCCGGCCACACUGGGACUGAGAUACGGCCCAGACUCCUACGGGAGGCAGCAGUAGGGAAUAUUGCGCAAUGGGGGAAACCCUGACGCAGCAACGCCGCGUGGGUGAUGAAGCUCCUUGGAGCGUAAAACCCUGUCAGGAGGGAAGAAACUAUUAUCGGACCAACACUCCGAUAACGUGACGGUACCUCCAGAGGAAGCUCCGGCCAACUCCGUG